GAUAAACGCUGGCGGCGUGCCUAACACAUGCAAGUCGAACGAUCCCGCAAGGGAGAGUGGCGGAAGGGUGAGUAACACGUGGGAAUCUACCUCCUCGCAGGGAACAACCUCUCGAAAGAGAGGCUAAUACCCAAAGGGUCAGAAAUGAUCAGAGUCGAAAGGCGUGAGGAGAGGAGCCCGCGGCCCAUCAGCUAGUUGGUGAGGUAAUGGCUUACCAAGGCUACGACGGGUAGGGGAUCUGAGAGGAUGUCCCCCACACUGGAACUGAAACACGGUCCAGACGCCUACGGGUGGCAGCAGUGAGGAAUAUUGGACAAUGGACGAAAGCCCGAUCCAGCAACGCCGCGUGGAGGAUGAAGGCCUUCGGGUCGUAAACUUCUUUAGAGGGAGACGAGAAAGGACGGUAUCCCUAGAAUAAGCGACGGCAAACUACGUGCCAGCAGCCGCGGUAAU
rnacentral:rRNA from 1 species